rnacentral:rRNA from 1 species
AACGAACGCUGGCGGCAUGCCUAACACAUGCAAGUCGAACGAGACCUUCGGGUAUAGUUGCGCACGGGUGCGUCACGCGUGGGAACCUGCCCUUAGGUUCGGAAUACCUCCCCGACAGGGGUGCUAAUAUCGGAUAAUGUCUUCGGACCAAGGAUUCAUCGCCGUUGGGUGGGCCCGCGUUGGUUUAACAGGUUGGUAGGGUAAGAGCCUACCAAGGCUACGAUCCAUAGCUGGUCUGAGAGGAUCGGCCGCGACACUGGGGCUGAGACACGGCCCAGAAUACUGGGGAAGGGGGCAGAGGGGAAUAUUGGACAAUGGGCGGAGGGCAGAUCGAGCACUGCCGGGUGAGUGAUGAAGUUCUGAGAGUUGUAAAGCUGUUUUACCCGGGAUGAUAAUGACGGUACCGGGAGAAUAAGCACCGGCUAACUCCGUG